GUAGUAUUCCCUCCGUCGUCUUACAUUUGUUUAGAUAUGGAUGUAUCUAACACUAAAAUGUAACUAGAUACAUCCGUAUUUAGACAAAUUUAAGACAAGAAUUUUGGGACGAAGGGAGUACAAA
rfam:Triticum aestivum genome assembly, contig: Triticum_aestivum_CS42_TGACv1_scaffold_330853_4BS